rnacentral:rRNA from 1 species
GGGGAAUAUUGCACAAUGGGGGAAACCCUGAUGCAGCGACGCCGCGUGAGCGAAGAAGUAUUUCGGUAUGUAAAGCUCUAUCAGCAGGGAAGAAUAAAUGACGGUACCUGACUAAGAAGCACCGGCUAAAUACGUGCCAGCAGCCGCGGUAAUACGUAUGGUGCAAGCGUUAUCCGGAUUUACUGGGUGUAAAGGGAGCGCAGGCGGUUCGGCAAGUCUGAUGUGAAAGCCCGGGGCUCAACACCGGUACUGCAUUGGAAACUGUCGAACGAGAGUGUCGGAGGGGUAAGUGGAAUUCCUAGUGUAGCGGUGAAAUGCGUAGAUAUUAGGAGGAACACCAGUGGCGAAGGCGACUUACUGGACGAUAACUGACGCUGAGGCUCGAAAGCGUGGGGAGCAAAC